rnacentral:rRNA from 1 species
CAGCCUGCCCAGUGACCCUGUUCAACGGCCGCGGUAUCCUAACCGUGCGAAGGUAGCGUAAUCACUUGUUCUUUAAUUGCGGACUAGUAUGAAUGGCACCACGAAGGCUAUACUGUCUCCUUUUUCUAAUCAGUGAAACUAAUCUCCCCGUGAAGAAGCGAGGAUAAUAAUAUAAGACGAGAAGACCCUAUGGAGCUUUAAACAAUAUAGCAAUUAUCAUACAGCACUUAAAUUUCUGAGUCUAUAAUUACCCGGAUAACAUGUCUAUAAGUUUUUGGUUGGGGUGACCACGGAGCACAAUAAAACCUCCAUGCUGAAAGAACUGUUCUAAGCUGAGAACCACCUGUCUAAGCAUCAAUAUAUUGACAUCCAUUGACCCAAUACACUUGAUCAACGAACCAAGUUACCCUAGGGAUAACAGCGCAAUCCACUUCAAGAGCUCAUAUCGACAAGUGGGUUUACGACCUCGAUGUUGGAUCAGGGUAUCCCAGUGGUGCAGCCGCUACUAAAGGUUCGUUUGUUCAACGAUUAAAACCCUACG